rnacentral:rRNA from 1 species
UGGGGAAUAUUGGACAAUGGGGGCAACCCUGAUCCAGCAAUGCCGCGUGAGUGAAGAAGGCCUUCGGGUUGUAAAGCUCUUUUGUCAGGGAAGAAACGGUAGUAGCGAAUAACUAUUACUAAUGACGGUACCUGAAGAAUAAGCACCGGCUAACUACGUGCCAGCAGCCGCGGUAAUACGUAGGGUGCAAGCGUUAAUCGGAAUUGCUGGGCGUAAAGCGUGCGCAGGCGGUUGUGUAAGUCAGAUGUGAAAUCCCCGGGCUCAACCUGGGAAUUGCAUUUGAGACUGCACGGCUAGAGUGUGUCAGAGGGGGGUAGAAUUCCACGUGUAGCAGUGAAAUGCGUAGAUAUGUGGAGGAAUACCGAUGGCGAAGGCAGCCCCCUGGGAUAACACUGACGCUCAUGCACGAAAGCGUGGGGAGCAAACAGGAUUAGAUACCCUCGUAGUCCCUGAGCGGGCUGGCAAGGCGCAU